CCUACGGGGGGCAGCAGUGAGGAAUAUUGGUCAAUGGGCGCGAGCCUGAACCAGCCAAGUCGCGUGAAUGAUGAAGGUCUUCGGAUUGUAAAGUUCUUUUCUAAGGGAAGAAGAAAGUGACGGUACCUUAGGAAUAAGCCUCGGCUAACUACGUGCCAGCAGCCGCGGUAAUACGUAGGAGGCGAGCGUUAUCCGGAAUGACUGGGCGUAAAGGGUGCGUAGGUGGUUUGGCAAGUUAGUAGCGUAACUCCAAGGCUCAACCUUGGAACUACUACUAAAACUGUUGGACUUGAGUGCAGGAGGGGCAACCGGAAUUCCUAGUGUAGCGGUGGAAUGCGUAGAUAUUAGGAGGAACACCAGUGGCGAAGGCGGGUUGCUAGACUGUAACUGACACUGAGGCACGAAAGCGUGGGGAGCAAACAGGAUUAGAUACCCGAGUAGUC
rnacentral:rRNA from 1 species